rnacentral:rRNA from 1 species
GGAGUUAGCCGGUGCUUCUUCUGUGAGUGAUGUCCUUCCUGCCGGCUAUUAACCCGCAGGCCUUCUUCCUCACUGAAAGUGCUUUACAACCCGAAGGCCUUCUUCACACACGCGGCAUGGCUGGAUCAGGGUUGCCCCCAUUGUCCAAUAUUCCCCACUGCUGCCUCCCGUAGGAGUCUGGGCCGUGUCUCAGUCCCAGUGUGGCUGAUCAUCCUCUCAGACCAGCUACGGAUCGUCGCCUUGGUGAGCCGUUACCUCACCAACCAGAUAAUCCGACAUAGGCUCAUCCGAUAGCGCGAGGCCCGAAGGUCCCCCGCUUUCCCCCGUAGGGCGUAUGCGGUAUUAGCCUGGGUUUCCCCAGGUUAUCCCCCACUACCGGGCAGAUUCCUAUGCAUUACUCACCCGUCCGCCGCUCGCCACCAGGGAGCAAGCUCCCCGUGCUGCCGCUCGACUUGCAUGUGUUAGGCCUGCCGCCAGCGUUCAAUCUGAACCACGAUCGAAAUUCUACGA